UGAUUUAGGUACUCACCAGUCAUUGAGUUGACCAUGAACUCCUCCAUAUAUCAAAGUAUUCUAAAUGUGAGACUAUCUGUCUGACAUCUAAAGCCUGACAAAAACUGAGUCAUGCAAUAGGAGAAUCACUAGCAAAAUUACAAUGGCUGGAAAUACUUUGUGACUGAGCCUUUUUGCAAUGGCUCAGUCAAAGCCAAAAACUCAACCUCAUUGAAAUGCUAUGAUGGGACCAUAAGAGAGCUGCUCAUAAACAAUUGCCUCUGUAACCCUCAGUGAAUUGAAGUAAUGUUACAAAUAAAAGUUGACCAAAACGGCUCUACAAUAAUGUGAGGUAAUCAUAAAGUCAUCCAAAAAAAUGAUUAUUUCAAUUUACUGCUAGUAAUGAUUGUUUUGCAAGCUACUGAUUCAUAGAAUGUACUUAGUGUUAGUAUUAGUGUAGAAACAGCCUAGUUAAUUGUGAUGGUGCCGUUUUUUUUUUUUUUAUUAUUAUGUUGCUCUUUGUUGUUUGCUUUCUCUUCUGUUUUUUUUUCUCCAUACAGGUGAUCCAGGUGUUUUGUUUUGUUUUUUGUUUGUUUUUUUUGUUUUCUUUCUUCCCCCCCUUCUCACCGUCUCUCCCCCCUUUGGUUUUCUUUCUCUCCCUCUCUUUCUUUCAUUCUUUCUCCCUGUCCUAUCCCCCAGUCAUGUCUGUCCCGUUUGUAGCAACUGAAAAUAAAAUAAAUUCAUAAUUAUAAUAAAGGUCAAUCAAAUGGACCAAUAUGGCAAGGCCAUGAUGAUCCACUUGGUAAAAUAAAUCCGCUUGGCAUCUUUCUUGGCCUUAAGACAACAAUUCUGAUGGCUAAAGAUCCAAACGGGACACAAAAAAAAAAAAAAAAAAAAAAAGAAACAGCCUGUUUUUCUACAGGCUGUUCCUAGACUUUUGGCUUAAUCUCUGUUUCAGCAACCACACUGAAAUACAUUAUAUUGUCAAAAUAGUGUAUUAGGUUGUUUUUCAUCUGAAGUUACUUCGUUCUUUUUCUUUAGGCGUUGUCACAACAGAUCAUCUCCUUCCAUCUCACCCUAUCCCAGCAUCCCCUACUGUCACAUCAAAAGCCUCUGCAUGCCCUCCUUAACAACAUCUAUGAAUCUUCCUUGCCAUCCGGGAAAGACAGCAACUUGGUCACAAAGUGGUAGUAAAAUCACAGAGGGGGGUCAGCGGAUGGUGAUGUGCAUAGAGGUCCCAAACCUUCUGCAGACUCAGACUUCAGAUAAGCUCAAGAACACGCAGUGGUAUUGCUGGACUCUUGAGCAGUGGAGAUGUGUUGUCUGGAGCGACAAAUCAUGCUUCUCCGUUUGGCAAUCUG
ensembl:lncRNA